CAUGGCCAUGCUGGAGUAGUAAGGAGUACUUGAGAUCGGCCUUCAUUUCCUGUUUCGUAAGCUAAAUUCCAUCAUGGCUGGAGCCGUGGUGUGGAGCGGUGCGCUGCUGUGCAUUCCUGCCGACUGGACGGCGGGGCAAAUGCACCGGAUGGCCGGCGUUCUCGCCGGUGACCAAGCUGGGUUCUGCCCGGGCAGCAACGUUGUUCCGGAUCGUCGAGGGAUACACGGGGGUCACACACACACACACAGGUUUACACCCGCAACUCUAGUUUUAAGGACGCCAACUAGGUUUAGUUCGCCAAUAUAGAUGUAAGUACGCUAAAA
rnacentral:lncRNA from 1 species